AACGCUAGCUACAGGCUUAACACAUGCAAGUCGAGGGGCAGCAUUGGGGUAGCAAUACUUCAGAUGGCGACCGGCGCACGGGUGAGUAACACGUAUCCAACCUGCCGCUUACUCGGGGAUAGCCUUUCGAAAGAAAGAUUAAUACCCGAUGGUAUAAAGAGUUCGCAUGUUCUCUUUAUUAAAGAAUUUCGGUAAGCGAUGGGGAUGCGUUCCAUUAGAUAGUUGGCGGGGUAACGGCCCACCAAGUCUACGAUGGAUAGGGGUUCUGAGAGGAAGGUCCCCCACAUUGGAACUGAGACACGGUCCAAACUCCUACGGGAGGCAGCAGUGAGGAAUAUUGGUCAAUGGACGCGAGUCUGAACCAGCCAAGUAGCGUGAAGGAUGACUGCCCUAUGGGUUGUAAACUUCUUUUAUAAGGGAAUAAAGUGAGGGACGUGUCCCUUUUUGUAUGUACCUUAUGAGUAAGGAUCGGCUAACUCCGUGCCAGCAGCCGCGGUAAUACGGAGGAUCCGAGCGUUAUCCGGAUUUAUUGGGUUUAAAGGGAGCGUAGGUUGACGUAUAAGUCAGCUGUGAAAGUUUACGGCUCAACCGUGAAAUUGCAGUUGAUACUGUAUGUCUUGAGUGUACAAGAGGUGGGCGGAAUUCGUGGUGUAGCGGUGAAAUGCUUAGAUAUCACGAAGAACUCCGAUUG
rnacentral:rRNA from 1 species